rnacentral:lncRNA from 1 species
CCGAAUAACCCGAAAAUCCGAAAAAAUCCGAGAGCGAAAAAUCCGAGUUUUGUUGAUUUAGUUUGGUAUUUAAAUUUAAUAACCCGAUACAAUUAAUUUGGUUUGGUAAUUGUAAAAUCCAAACCAACCCAGCCUAUGUACACCCUUAAUUGGUACAAUAAGGGAAGGACCAAGAUUUACUGCCACCCUAAUUGCUGAAGAUAUGUAUCGAAAAAAGAAGGCUAUCAAUCCCAUGAAUCAAGGAACAACUUAAGAAGUUAUGACAAAUCUCAUUUCGAAGAAGGAAACGAUCGGCUGUCAUGGACCAUCUGUAGAAGCUCUGUGCUUAUUCUUGGAAUGAAUCAUAACAUGUCCAAUUCCAAGGAUCAAUUCCCUUGGGAUUGCAAAUCUCUCAACGGUCUGUCAAAGAUUUGCCAAGUCAAGCUCAAGUAUAAAAUGGAAUAUGUCAAGGAAGCAUCACAUACUUUGAUCGAACUACUAUCAAUCUUUUCAUUCUACUCCAAACAAAUAUUAUAAUCUACUUUUGAUCUACUGUGUAACUAGGGAGAGAAGAAAGAGAGAAAAAUCAUGGGUCAUCGAGAAGCGAGAAAAGAAAUAAUAUAGAGACGAAGUUGUUGGUAUAUAACAACACCAACUCUCUAUCACACCACUUUUUUCUCACCCCCACAAAAGAAUGUGUAGAAUUAUGGGGUAAAGGGUUUUUCCAAUUAAAAUAACAAAACUUGAGUAGGAUUUAUUUUAUUGUUCAGAUUCGCCACUUGAAAUUAUUUUUUUGGGUGUUCCAAGUCGCCUUUUGUUUAAAUCCCUAGUCAAAGGAAGAUUUGACUCUAUUAUUAUUGGUUUGCGAAAAUAAAGUCUGGAUAAGAAAUUCUGUUGACCUGAAAGAAGGUAUAAGGCAUUUUUUGAGUCCAUUCGUUCUAGCACGGUCGCUUUUAUUGACUAAAAUUAAUUCGGAAUGAACUGUGCUUUAUUGGUCUCUAAAUUUUUACUUCUCCGCCUUUAUUUCUUGAUUAUUAGAAUUAUUGAAGAAUGAUUUGGAUAAUAUUACGUUGUCAUAACCACGCUAUGCAAGCGAAUGUAUGAUUGAAAUAAAAUUAAUUAACUUAUUAUAAUUGCGACGCACAAGUGAAUCCGAAAUCAUGACAAUCAAUUAUUUGUGGUACUUUCGAGAAAUUACUACAUUUAGGAUUAAUUUUAUCUUGAAGAAAUUAGCAAAUAUCACACUCCACUACGCAAGCAAAUCUAUGUUUAUGAUAAAAAGAAUAAUUGAGUAAAAAGUUAAUUAAAGCUAUUUGGAAAAAGGCGUGAGAUUAUUUAUAAAAUUAACUAUCGAAUGUUAAAAAUCCCACUACGUCAAGCGAGCCCGCGAUUAAAAAAUUUAAAACGCGGUUAACAGUUGCCUAGCACUUUAUUAUUUAUUAGUAGUGAAAAAUAGGCAAAAUUAGAAAUGUAGGCCAACUUAUUAUUCACUAAUCUUAAAGCAUAUUCUUUUUCAUUUAUCCAAAUACAAUUGAUCUUCACAACAGAUUCUAUCUUAUAGGAACACAUUAUUUUAAAUAAGUAUUUAAUACUAAUGACUAGGAAAAAAGCAAUAGAAAAGAAUAGAUGAUCAAGCUCCAGAUUCAACUUUGCAAAGUUUACCAUGACGAAUUACACGUGAGGCUAUGACCUCUCUGUUUUAUAUUAAAAUAAUUCAUAUCAAUUUCCUUCACGUAGACUUUAUUUAACUUCUUUUAAAUUUAAUGCAUAGAACCUAAAUCUACGCUACCUUGUUCAAACAUAUCUAUACAAUCAAUGACGAAACUAUAAACCCUAAAUGCUCUCCUCAUAAAUUAUUACAUAGUUCUUGCUAACUUUUGACCUUGAUAAAUAACUUUGUAAUAUACACACUAUUGAACCCAAGAAAUAGCCCUAACAAAAAUAUCUUUUAAGAGUUUGACUAAUGAACAAGAGAAAGUUACUCCAUUCUUAAAGAGUUACACUUGAAGUGUAUAGAAUCAUUAUACUAUUAUUACUAUUAUACUAUCUUUAAUUCUAAAAAUUACAUGAAGAACAAGAAUAAAAGUUAAGCCAAGAACCACAACUAAUAGCAACAAGCAGUCACGAACUCAAAUAAAGAAGCUAAACAGAACUUCCAAAGCGGAGAACUCCAACGGGGAUAUAUCAUCAUCUCCAUCUCAAAUAUGAUUUCAAAGUUCUUGAUACUGAAUCUUUUGUCUUUCUGAAAAUCAAAGUAUCUAAAAGAAACUCUCUCAAAUAUUUCUAAGAACAAAUAAACUGCUGUGAAGAUUAAUAAUUAACUAAAGUAGAUAUUCCUUGACUCAUAGUGAAACCAAAAUCCUAUUUAAACCCCAAAUAAACACAUAACCAUCACAAAAGAUUAAGAAAUUACUCUUAUCACAAAGGAAACAUAAAAGAUAAAUAAGCAAACUUGUAUGAACUAAUUAUCACAAUCAUACAAAACUAAAUUAAUAUAACCAAAACCAUUAUAUAUGAGCUUUAGAUCUUCAUAUAUUCCUGUUAGAGUAACCAAAUCAUUUUAAGACAAGCUGACAUAACCAACAAAAUGUUCAGGCAUUUUAUUUUAUCUGUGAACAUUUAAACUACAUGAUGAGUUCAAAACUUUACCUAGAAGUUGAAAUUUCAGCAGUGAAAAACGUUGAAUCCAACAGCAGACCAACGAUCCCAGCAAAGCAAACUCAACCCAGCAGCAAUAACAGUGAAAAGAACCAGUAAAACAACCCAGAAUAAACUUCGAUACUCAACAGCUUUAAAGAAGAAGGGAGCAACAAACUAGCUUCAAACCUUUUAUAUUUUUUGGAAGGUUUUUGCUCUUUUCUGGAAAAUAUUCAAAAGUGAAAGACUGCUGAAAUUUUUAUCUUCAACUCUUUUUUUCCUGAUCUCCCCUUUGUAUGUGUAAAUGUGUGUGUUCAACCCCUCCCCUAAAGUGAGAGAAAGACCCUCUUUUUAUGGGAGAG